GUACAGCAAAGUGAUUCAGUUACACAAGUAUCCGUUGUUUUUCAGAUUCCUUUCCCAUUUAAGUUAUUACAGAAUGCUGAGGAGAGAGGUAAGUUUUUUAACCAGAGCUGGUCUGGUUUCUUCCUUGCUUUUACAGACCUCCCUCACUGGCAGUACAUUUUGAUAUCAGGCACAGCAUAAUCUUUCACCUCUAGAAGUUCGGCCGGUUUUACCAUUUGCAUAUCACUCUUAUAAAUUACAAAUUAUUUUUGUUGCUUAAAACAAUGAAGGAAGCAGUGGAUUUGUGUACUGGAGUAAAGGUGCAUAUACAUUACAGGAAGGAGUGAGGCUGGCUUCAGUCGCCGCUGCCCUGCCCCGUGGACUUCCGUUCAGUCCUUAGAUCAGCCGACGGACGGCUCAAAGUCAUUCUUGAUAAGUUCCCUGUGGCUGACUCCUUUCACUUCGGAUGUCCUCCUUAACCUUCACUCAAGGAAAAGCUUCAAUCACUCAAUCUCUUUACGCUUUUUACUUCAGCUCUCUUGCAGAUAACCUGGCUCUGGACAGCAGGAGGCUAUCCCAGUUCAUGGAAUGGAGGUUGGCAGUUUUGGAUGCUGGCCUGUGGGAAGUGACCAGCAGAAAGGCAGGGUGAGGCCAUUCUAGGCAGAGGGAACACGCUGGGCUGACACAGGUGUGAAGAAAUGCAGACUGGAGGGCGAACUGGGUGAAGCUUGCUGGAAGGGAGGGGCGGACAGGGUGGGAGAAGUUGGCACCAGAUGGUCAAGGACCUUAAAUGUCAUGGGGCCUUCAUCCUCAGGAACAUGCAGUUUAACCAGAUGUAACUGUCAGAGCCCAGAGGUUUUCAUGGUCCCGUCCCAGCACAUGCAGAAAUAAUAGUCGUUCACAUCUUUAGUGGUGACUCUGGCAAAUCAAAGAAGCAACUAAAUCUCUGUCCCUCUUUCUCACAUUUUCACCCUGGCCUCAAACUCUGUCUUCAGCCCCCAACCCCGACCCCCAAGUCCUCAUCACAGGGCUCUCCCCUACAUCAAGCCUAGGGUCCUCCCCCUUCUUACUCCACUUUCUGCCCUCUCAGUCCUCCCUUUCUCAUAAGAAAUGCUUGCUCCUGUUGCUAGUGGGACUGAAACGAGUCCUUCGCCUGGUAAGGCUGUGAUUCUUGCACCCGUUGUCUUCACUUUCCAUAAUCGGAGCUCAUGGAACAAAGGUGGCACUGGCAGAGGAUCUCUUCCAGGGGAGGGCGAGACCAUCAGCCAAAGAGAAAGUUUUCGGGGGGAGGGGAGAAUCUAACACUUAUAAUUUAAUAAUUUCUUAAAAUCCCCAUCACGUAGGGCCCUCCAAUAAAUGUGGAAGACAGAAUGGACAGGUGAGAACCUUGGGACAAAAGUCAUUCAUAAAGCUGUUGCAGUGAUCCAGGUAGGAGCUGUUAAGUUUCCAAACUAAGGCAGUGACCAUGUGGAUAAAGUGGGGACAGAUUCCAGAGAUCUCUUAAAGGUAGCACCAAUAGGACUUGAGGUCUCAUUGUAUUGAACAUUCAAGGGAAGAGUGAGUCUAACAGAACUUCAGAGAUUUCUAGCUUGGCCAAACUGGUCGAGGAGCCUUAACAUGAAAUACGUGGUAUGGCAAUAGAGAAGGGAAAACAUACUCUAAUGAAUUUGAGUUGCCCAUGGGAAAUUCAGGUGUAGUACCCAGUGGCUAUCUGUGUCGUCUGGAGCUUAUGAGAGAGGUCUGAGCCUAAACAGAAUUGGAGGGUUGUCUUUCACUGGGAGUGGAUGAGUUCACCUAGGAAAAAUAGGUAGCUAUCUGGCUUAUUAUUAGUUAAAAUAAUACUCAUCAAGUUGAAGGCCUAAUGUGCCAGAUAUGGUACCAAGCACUUUAUCUGCCUUCUCUCUCACAAAGCCCCGAAUAGAGUUGGUACUUUGAUCCUAAUCAUACUGAUGAGGAACUUCCAAAAAGGUAGGUGUCUUGCCUAAGGCCCCACAAUGAGUAGGGGUAUUGCCAGGCUUUGAAUUCAGGUCUGUCUUCUUAAGCCUUUUUUUUUCCCCCCUUCCAAUAGAUGCUUAGAAUCACAUGGAAGAAAUCAUAGGUUCUCUCUGACAGAGGCACAGGCACCUCACAUUUUAUGUUCCGUUUCCAGGAUUUCACAAACGAAGCCCAUGCUCCAUGGCCCAGAGAGAGAAGGCAGCCCAAGAUGAAACCCUGGAGAAGAGAGUAUUGUGGUAAAGACAGAUGGAGAAGCGGUACUGAAGAGUAGAAAAUCAGAUCAGGGAAGACAGAGAAGGAUGAAGUUGAGUUGGUUGAGUUAGAAGUUCAGACAGUUGACUCUGUCUUAAUUAUCAACCCAUCAACCCACUUAGGUAUUUUUUUCUUCUGCUUUCUCCAGGAUAACUGGAAUCGGUAUUGAGAUGAAAAGUUAGAAGAACCUGGGCAGGGAGAUUGCCAAAGAAUUAAGAAGUAUGAGUGUGGCUAAGUGAUGGCCUCGCCUGGGUUUUCAACGAAGAACUGGAAGCUGCCGUGUGAUUAACGGAGGCUGCUGAUCAUCAACCCCAGGUGUAUGGUAGGGGGCUGGGACCGGGACAACAAACUCAAAUGGCAGUGGAGCCAGGCAGUAAUUUCUCCCAGCAUCAGAGAGCCAGCACGAGGAGAGCUGGGAUCAGAAUUUGGUUUUCCAGCUGCAGUGUCCAGUGCUCAUUUCUCCUAUACCAUAUGGCCACAUUAAAAAGAAAUGUCUUAGUAAAAUGCCAUCUCCCAGUCUCUUUUUAACUCAGCUCUACCAAAACUGCUCUUGUCAAGGUCACCAUUCAGCAAGCCUGGGAUCCUCUUAGCAAAUCCGGCUGCCUCUACAGUUUAUUCCACCACUCCCCAGCGUCCCUGCAGCUCAGGGCCAUGGUGACACUUAAAAGGUAGGUCAAAUUGGGCCAUUCCUCUGCUGAAAACCUCCAGCGACUUUCUUCCCUCGAUACUUGCUCUCGUGGUCUCUCUCUCCUUUUUCUGUAAGUAUCACGGUACUAGAGAGGCCUUCUAUGACACCCUAUAGCAGAGAGCUCUCAUGCCCUAUUAAUCACCUUUAUCUGGUUUUGUAUUUCUUUCUUCCUAGCACUUCUCCCCCUCUGACUCACUAAGUUUAUAAUUGGGAAAAAAGAUUCCCUUUGCCAAUAUAGCUAAAAUCUUCAGUGAGACUGGCUUUGGCGGCAGAUUCUAGAAUCUAGGGUUUGGUAGCCUCAAAAAAGGAGGAGUAACUUCCUGUCUUCUGUAGAUACUUGUUUCUGAGGGAAAGCUUACAAUACACUGCAUUUCUCGUCUGUCUUCUAUGUACUAAGCACUGCGUUUAAUCAUACAGCAUCGUCUUCGUAAAAUUCAGAAGGCUUAAAGGUAAGAGAUGACAUGCAUGAUCCCCUAUUUUACUGAAGAGGCGGAGUCAGGAUUAGAACUUAAGUCCUGUAGUCUCUGUAACCAUUUACCAUAAACCAGAGCUGUUCAGAUGAUGCAAAUGUGACAUUAUUUUAACAUUACUGGACCCCAUUCUUAGAGAUGUCAAAAAAAGUAAACUGAAAGAAACCAUGCAGUAUUUAUUUUAUACAGUUCAACUGGGCACAAAGUAAAGUAAGCACCUCUACAGGAAAUCCUUGGUGUAUGAGGGUUUUUUUUCUUACAUAUUAAUUACUCUGGAUAGUUUUUGAACUCUGUUUAAUAGCAGGUCUCCUUUCUUGAUAGUUUCUUGGUACUGCCAGUUCUUGCUAUCAGGUCUAUAAAUAAAUCGAAGAAAAAAAUGAAUUAUUUACCAGUCACAUUACUCCAUAACAAUAGCUGACCUACUUUAAAAAGAAGGCACUCUUCUUUUAAGGGUGCCCUUUAUUUUGUGCAGUAUUACAACUGAUACACAAACUUAAGAGUACCUGUUUGUUUCCACUAUUUCAUUCACUUUAUCUAUUUUGCAGUGUAGCCUCCCAGCAGCAAUAAAUCUGGAGAGUUCCCUAAUUGACAGAAAGGGAAAAAAAGCCUUUAGCAUUAGCCUUAUAGACAAUUCUUAGAAAAAUAUAAAUAAACACAUGAUUUGUCUUUCAAGGUAACAUUUUGAUGCACUGCGCAGUAGUUGAGAAGAUGGUCUCCAGUGUAUUGCAGGUGUCUUAUCUACCAGCAUUAACGUGACCCUACAAGUGCCUAUUCCUAUGAAGCGUAGGUGGUCAAAGAAUGAAGCCAUUCACAGCAGUGUACAUAGUUGCAUCUCCAGAGUGCAGCUGCAAAACCCACUGGCACCGAAGUAACAGAGAAAACUACCCAACCAGAUAUAACCAGCCUUGUGAGUCCUACCCAGAUCCAAAGAACAGCAGGGGAGAAGAAUCUUAGGAGAACAGCACUAGACUUGACGUACAAGCAAACUCUAACUCAAGAAUGCCCUGAGGAGGGAAGAAAACAAUCUGUGAAAACCCAGGCGUGAAUCAGAUAUUUCAAAGAAGGCCUAUUCUGGUAACAACAACUGCAGCUCGGUAUGUACUUGACAACCUCCGCCUCUAAAGCUGGUCUGAGACCAUGGGGAACAAUUAAGAAAUACCACCAGAAAUGUACCACAUAGCAUCAAUUCAGAUGCCGUUGUAAUGACUAGCAGAACACUGCAGUGUGUCUAUAUAACUGGUACUCCCCUGCUUCUGUGCAUCUUAUCCACAGCUUCAACUGAGCCUCGCACUGCUCCCAACCAGUGGACACGGCUUUAUCACCACCACAGCACAGUUAAGAAACUAAAGGCUAGGAAGCCAGACCGGCCCCUGCUUUUUGUGCACUGCCCACCACAGGAAGCCACUCCUUACACUGCCGCAUGAGAAGCACGUUUACAACACUGCUCUUGGGCAGUGGUUACCAAUUUCACACACGAGUUCAAUUCAGAAGUGAAACAAAACCAAACCAACCGAGGGAACGCAGCCUUCUAUUUUGGUAUGGAUAGGAUAACCAACAAAAGCCACCAUCACUGCCUCUUUUUCUUUCACAGAAGAGAAGGAGGAAAUUUCUGGCUCCAUAGUUUGGGUACGGUUAAGAUCUGUGCAUUUUACUGAACGUAAAGAUUACUCAAAACCAACCCGCCCACCCAUAAACAAGCACCCCCCAGUCAUCUAUGCAUGCUAAGAUGACUGGGGGUGAAAUGUACUGGUGUCUGACACUUCCUUUCAAGCGGUUAAAAAUCAGAUGGAAGGUGAUAAAACAAAUAUAACAAAAUGUUAAUAAAUUACAGAAUCAAGGAUCUAUGGGACUUUACAGUGUAACUCUUUACAAUGUUCAUCAUGUUUGAAAUUUUUCAUAAUAAAAUAUUAGAAAAA